GGCCGGUUCUGCUGGCGCCUGACGGUUGCGGGGCGGCGGCGGUCAUCCGAGGGCCGAAUCCGCCUUUAUGACACCGCCGCAGCGACGUCAGCGUAUCCAGCAGUAAACCACCAACGGCUUCGCCGUCCCCUAGCUCCGCACGGGAAUGCGAAGAAUGUGAGACUUGAGAGAUCCAACAGGGGAGAUGCACCGCAGCGACGGCAUGGAGGUGGCGGGAGGGUGGAGGCCGCCUGCUACCGCUAGCUACUGAGACAGCUCCGAGUCUUCGAGCUCUGGUUCCGGCCUGCGCAUAUGGUACGGAUGCCCUCCCCUUGGAUACCUUCUUGCUAAAUCUGUGAAAUGCUUGGUCGCAAGCCGCACCUGUCGCCGAUUCCUUUGUGCAGCUAGAGAGUUGCAAUUUGCAAAUACCUGUGGACAGUUAUAAGGCAAUUAAGGUUUAUAUUAACAGUUUUAAAAUCUUGUGCUGCCUGAGCCACUUCUGGGUUCAGAUACGCGUGUGGUCAUGCUUGCUCUUUUCUUCUUAAUGAAAUACGCUCGUUCGCAAAAAAAAGUACUUAAGAUUACACAUCUGACACUGCGCAACACCUGAAGAAUGCAUAGAGACAAAAUACUGUAGCAAGCCGUAACGAACAAGCCUGGGCAAUAUGAAAUCUGGACGUUUCUGAGUUCUGCCUGAUCUGGGCUGCGUUGGCACACCGUUUCAGAACGAGAGCACACGUUGUGGGCUGGGAAAGGGAGAUAUAUCAUAGUACUUUAUUAUACGCCCUAUUCUAAUCCACCCAAAUAUGUCCAACUUUAAUAUUGACGGAGCACUGCAACCCCCCCCCCCCCCCCCCCCCCCCCCCCCCCCCCCCCCCCCCCCCCCUCUUCAAGAAUUUCAGCCGACUCAAAUCGUAUUAGAACACCAAGGAGCUUUCCAGAGUGUAAACUAUGAACAAGGAGGCUGAACAAGAGCCAUGGGUAGCCCACCAAGCAGUUACACCAGUAUACAACCACAUGCACACGCAUGGACAUAAAGAAGGCACCAAAGCUGCCGCUAAAUUUGACAUUUCAUCAUGUUUUUUAUUUUAAUAAAAAACACUUUAUUAUUCAUAUUAACUUGAACCUGCACCUCACACGGUUUUUCUUUCUGAAAGUUUAAAACUUUUCACAGUUGAGUUACAGGCAGAAACAGAGCAGAAGUAUGGAGCCGUACUAUGCAUUCGGUGAUCCUACACGCCGCUCCAACAUUUCUCAUUCUCCGCAAACCACCGUGGCUUUCCGAAUGAACUCUGAGAGAGCUGGCAUCAAGGGCAGAAAUAAGAAUCUUUGGCAAAGGGUAACUUGAAGUACACAUGAAAUAAAAACACAUCACAAUACACAUAAAUCAGUUAAUCAGAAUUAACCAUAAUUGUCUUCCUCUGUUCUGUAUUGUUUUCCGAGAAUAUGCAGGAGAUCUACGUAUCUUUACCCCUCAUAUGGAAAGAACAUAGGUAUCAGUCAUAAAACCCCCUAUCAAUCACAGAAAAAAAGCCUUUAAUGUUUGUAGCAGAGGUUAUAGGGCAAAAUCAAGAAAGGUACAUAUCCAGCAGUUCCCCUUUAUUUAUAUAAUUCUGGCAAAAGUACUGACAGCCUUAAGUUCAAAAGUUGAGUGAAAACAAACACAGCGGACUACCUUAACCCAAACUAGCGAACAUACCAUUUGACACUUGUUGCAGUUUGCCCUCAUCGUCCAACUGCUGAAGGAGCAGCAGCAAGUUCAGCAGUGAGAAUGAAGGUUGACAUGCCAGCUUCCCUGAGGUGACGAAUGUCACCAUUCAUGAGCCUCAGAAGGUUUCUAGAAACAGCAAGGCUGAAGCCCUCCUCUGACUGCUCUUUAUUGUCCUCCUCAUACAUUUGCGACAAUAUUUCCGCUGGGACUCCUGCUCCUCGGUGCUUGAUCCUGAAAAUCAUAAAGCCAUAAACACAAGAGUAACUUAAGCCUUCACACCUCAUGCUUUCCAGUUCAGAAAUGAAUGUAUGCUUGCAAACUAGCAUGCCCAGCAUACCUAAGUUCGAAGUCUAUGAGGUGAAGGUUUUCCCCAAUGCUGUUCUUAGUCAGCUUGGAAGAGAUGUCAACAGAGCCACCAGCAGGAGAGAACUUCACCGAAACAAAUAGGAAGUCAGAGACGAUCUGCUGGAGUCGGAUACCAUCCCCGUAAACCUUUUGCUUCAUGGAUCUCUCUGGCAGGUUGCAAGCAACUCUGAUACCUUUAGCCUGGCAACCUAUCAGCACUUGACUUACAGCAGACACCACCACAUCUUGCAACACAAAUUCAGCCAUAUCCAAAUCCAAGCAGCUUGACCUGUGAACAUAAUGAUACAGAAAUAUUAAGUUGGUUGUAACGAAUAUGGCUAUAAGCUUCAGUAGCUAGUGAAGUAAAAUUAAGUGAUACCAUCAACCUACUGUUCAGAAAAUUGUCAAAUUACGAGGAAGACGGAAAUAAAUACAAGAACCUAAUAGAACAGUUUAAAAGACUUGGCAAGAAGGUUACUUGUCAGUGAUGUUAUCUUGAUCCAAGUCGGCAAGUAUCUUGUUUAGCUGGCGAUGGCAAUUGUCUCCGACGCGAACCUGCCUCAUCUGCUCUUCAUUCAGACCUGUGCUCUUGAGUGUUUCCCUAGAAUAAAGCAUACCUGAGAGAGGUUUGUUGAUGGCAUGUCGCAUGUACGAGAAAGCCUUCAACUUUCUUUGUGCUGUCUGCUCAGAGGCUUGCUGCACAUGUAGCGCAUGCUGCAGGUCAUCACUAGGAACAUGGAUGAAACAGAACACUCCAGUGACAACACCAUCUGCAUUUACUUUCCUGUUCACCGACAGAAGGCAUUCGACAUAUUUCUCAUUGCGGUCAAAGAAGCCGAAUGAAGCCUUUUCUGCCUCUUCACCAGCUAAUGCGCUGUUGAUGACAAUGCAAAGACGUACAAAGGCAUCUUUGCUCUUCAGAAGGCAGGAAGCAUUGCUGCUGUUAAAAACCUCGCCAAGGAGCAUCUUAUCAACCACUUCAUCUCUGUGCCACCCGGUAAGCUUGGUCAUGGCUGCAUUCCACUCAGAGCACCAUCCAAACUGGUCAGCACCAAAUAUAGGAGGAAUGAGUGGGUUCGGGUUGUGGAUGAUUGCCUUGUAGUCCCCCUCGACCCGAGUAAAUUUGUCCAUGACCAACUUGUGAACAGUCAUGUCCUGGGCUACAAAGCACACCCCAACAACAUGGUCAUGAAGAUCACGACUGGCACAAGCAUUUACGACCAAGAUAACAGGGCCAUCAUCCCUCUUGGAGCCAUGUGUUUUCAGCUCAAAUCGAACUUCCUUCUCUUCUCUGCCUGCUCAAUUGAUGAAAUAUUCAGAAACCAAUACGUAAUACAAUAAAUUUAUUCAUUUUUUCUGAGGGUUGACUAUUAACAGUAAGAAUAGUAAUUAAAUGGUGCAGACAGUAAAGGUGCUUAAAACCUUUUAGUUCCACUCACCUUGCAGAGCUAAAUAUAGCAUCCUCUGAACAAGUGAUACAGAAGAAUCCUCCACAAGUGUAAGUAUGUGUCUUCCUAUAGCCUCAUCAACUCUCAGCCCUGACAACUCCGCUACCUUUUGGUUCCAUCCAUUGACCAAUCCAUUGCCAUCUACUGCCAAGAUCGGAACAGUUGCUGUUUCCAUCAGGCGGACCAUUUCACUUGUCACUGCUUGCAAUUCAGCAAGCCCAUCAAGUUUUAGAUCACCGAUCUGGUUAUCUAAACCAGAUGCCUGGGCCGGCUUCGAGGCAUCAUUCAGUGUACCUCUAAGAAUAAGCUGCAAUGAGUGAAUAGCAUCCAUCUCGUAGUCACUCCAUGGCAAACUCUUCGUCUUGACAACCUCAAGGAAAGCCUUAAAGGAUAACCUAGGGUGCAUCCUUCUGUUGUCAUCCUUAUCAGAUGGAUCAUGCUUUGCACCUCCCCAUUUGAUUUCAGCAGCUGUAUGUGACCUGAACCAGAAAAGAAUGUCCUUGGACGUGAUCUUGGCCACUGCCAUUCCACAAAUCAUGUCACCAAGGGAAGCAGCUCCUGGAUAUCCAGCAUCCUGGAGGCUAUCAGUACUCAAGCCAGUGGAAUCCCCAUGAACUUCUGAAAGCCAGAAGGCAAUAUCACGAAUCUGAGACUCGGUUGGAGCCGUUUGAAGCCGCCAUACUUUGUCCCCAUACAAAAGAGCAGCGCCAUCACACUUAACUAGGUCCAUGAUAUUUGGACUCCCAGACACGAUACUCAAGGGAGAUGAUUCCUUGAACAGCAUGUCAGAGAGCAUUGUUUGCAUUCGCAGAAUGUUUUUCUCUCGUAUCUGCUUCUCCAAUUCAAACUCCUUGUUUACAUGGACAGCAAACACUUGGGCCAAGAAUUCACAGGCAUACCGCAGUGGGAAAGGGACAUAUCUGGGGCUCUCAUGGUGGCAAACAAUGAGACCCCACAGCCUCUUCUUCUUCUGCUGUUGUGGUGGUUGUUCAGGCUCGGGUUCAUCAUCCUCUUCAUUUUCAUUGACCACAACAGCCAUGACAAGGGAUGCAAUCGAGUUCAUGUUCUCCAUAUACUUAAGGUGACAGCUAUGUGGUGCUCUAAGAGUUGAACCACACAAGCUAAUAUCAAUGGAGAGUGCCUCAUCUUCAAUAAUCUUCACGGAUCUUGCACGGCAAUCACAGAUCAUUCUGACUUUGUUCUUCAUGAAGAGAAACCUGGCAGCUUGAGGGAUAUCAGUGGCUGGAUAGUGCAGGCCUAUAUAGGGCUCAAUACCAGGUUUGGUGAUCUCAGCGAAGACCUCCCCAUGCUCAUCUUCAUGGAACUUGUAAGCCAUAACCCUGUCAUAACCUGUCAGGUCAAAGACUUCCUUAACCACGGUAUUGCAUAAGGCCUCCAUGCUUCCACCUGGUAGUGACUGGAUCUUGGAGAUUGCCUUGGCAGCAAGCUUGUAGGACUGCAAAGCCCCAGCAGCAGUGGCAGGAAAUUCUGUAGGCUUCACAGGCUCAAAAUCUACCACCAGACAACCAGUUGCCCUAUGAACAAUGGCAUAGAAUGGCUUGCCUGAGGUCUUGCACUGAACCAGGAUAGGAUUCAGCAAAGAAACAUCAGCAAAUCCAAGUGCCUUCUGCAGUGCUGUAGCACCAGGGUCAGUGAAAAGGGAUCGCACAUUGGUGCCAAUUCCUAGCUUCGGGGGAUCAUCAACGUUCGGCACAGCAUGGCUGACCGUUGUAAGCAUUUCAGGUGCAUUCUCACUGAAUGCAAUGACCCUGAAGCUCUUCUCGUCAAG